rnacentral:rRNA from 1 species
GAUGAACGCUGGCGGCGUGCCUAAUACAUGCAAGUCGAGCGAAUGGAUUAAGAGCUUGCUCUUAUGAAGUUAGCGGCGGACGGGUGAGUAACACGUGGGUAACCUGCCCAUAAGACUGGGAUAACUCCGGGAAACCGGGGCUAAUACCGGAUAACAUUUUGAACCGCAUGGUUCGAAAUUGAAAGGCGGCUUCGGCUGUCACUUAUGGAUGGACCCGCGGCGCAUUCGCUAGGUGGUGAGGUAACGGCUCACCAAGGAAACGAUGCGUAGCCGACCUGAGAGGGUCACCGGCCACACUGGGACUGAGACACGGCCCAGACUCCUACGGGAGGCAGCAGUAGGGAAUCUUCCGCAAUGGACGAAAGUCUGACGGAGCAACGCCGCGUGAGUGAUGAAGGCUUUCGGGUCGUAAAACUCUGUUGUUAGGGAAGAACAAGUGCUAGUUGAAUAAGCUGGCACCUUGACGGUACCUAACCAGAAAGCCACGGCUAACUACGUGCCAGCCGCCGCAGUAA